rnacentral:rRNA from 1 species
GAUGAACGCUGGCGGCGUGCUUAACACAUGCAAGUCGAACGAAGCACUUUGGACAGAUUCUUCGGAUGAAGUCCUUAGUGACUGAGUGGCGGACGGGUGAGUAACGCGUGGGUAACCUGCCUCAUACAGGGGGAUAACAGUUCGAAAUGGCUGCUAACACCGCAUAAGACCACAGCACCGCAGGCUGCGGGGGUAAAAACUCCCGUGGUAUGAGAUGGACCCGUGUUCGAUUAGCCAGUUGGCGGGGUAACGGCCCACCAAAGCGACGAUCGGUAGCCGAUCUGAGAGGAUGACCGGCCACAUUGGGACUGAGACACGGCCCAAACUCCUACGGGAGGCAGCAGUGGGGAAUAUUGCACAAUGGGGGAAACCCUGAUGCAGCGACGCCGCGUGAGUGAAGAAGUACUUCGGUAUGUAAAGCUCUAUCAGCAGGGAAGAAAAUGACGGUACCUGAGUAAGAAGCCCCGGCUAACUACGUGCCAGCCGCCGCCGUAAUAC